GGGGCCGAGCAGGGUUGUACCCUCUCGCGGGCCGCUCUCGCACCGGAAUUUCCGAAUUGAAGUAGUGAGGGCUGCCUGGCGGCAGCGGCCACAAAACAACCCGGAGACUGCUCCCGGAGCUAGGGUUUGCUGAUCCCGGCUUAGACUGGGAGCAACAUCAGCAACCUCGGUGCUCAUUCACUGCUGUAUCCCUGACACCUAGGAUGGAAUCCGGCACAUAGUGGAGAAACUGAGGCUCGAGUCCAGGUCAUCCUGAUUCCUAAAUCCCCGCUCCUCGUCCCUCUGCCACUCAGUUUACCAUUUCGGCUCCCACUUACCUGGGCGUCGCGGAGAAAACGUCUGGGUGCAGCUCGGUCAGACCCAAGCGCUCCUGCUCGUAGCCCCGCAGGGACUCGACCCAGGCCUGCACAGGACGCCGGUGCGCGAGUACCGGGAGCUCGCACCUGCGCAGCACGGGCACCCGAUGACCUGGAGCGAUUGGGAGGUCAAGGGUCAGGAGCAAGGGUCAGAGUUUCCGGUUGCCUCCCCUCCUAGGGCAACCCCAGCAACCUCACCCGCGCUCGCCACCGGUUCUGGUUUCUCCGCCGGCUGCACUGCCUCUUCUGCCAGCGCCUUUAGGCCCUGUAAACGGUAAGCAAGACUGAGAGACGAUCCCCGGACCCUCCAACCUUUGUCCUCCGACCCCGCCCUCAGUCCCCGGCCUCACCCGGCAGCCCUUGGGCCGAAGCCAGGCCCGCGCCCCUGCCCGGACUAGCUGCAGCAUUGUAGCGCAGCUCCCCACGCUUAGAGAGGUCAAGGCUUCCUCUGCUGGACUCUCUCGACGCCUCGCGAUGACGUCACGCCCGCGACGCCGCCGGUCGGGUUUGUAUUCGGUGUUAGAAAGGUGGGCGAGCAAGAGCAAAGACGGCAGGGUCCGCUAACGCCUGUCCCAACCUCCGCCCCAAGACUAACCCCAGACGCUAAUUUUCACUGCUGGCCUAAAGAACCCUCUGCAACACCUGGGAGCGCGACCCGACAGCAAGAAAUCCCGCCCCCCUCUUCGGUCCCGCCCCCAAAGAGCCGGUGCGGUAAUCCGGCCAAUAAAACCUCCCUGCUCAAAGGGCACGCUCCUCGUUCAGCCAAUGAGCUCGUUCAGUCUGGAAAAGUGGCUGGGCGGUGCUAGGGCGGGCACCUAAGGGAAUAUGGCCAGUAACUGUUAGGCUUUUUUUUUUUUUUUUUUUUUUUUUUUUUUUUUUUUUUGUCGGCCACGUCCCCAGGGCCCGCCCGCUUUGGGCCUCCAAGACCGUAGCGGUUGGUUUCUCCAGAAACGUGGUUUUGUUUGCUUGUUUAAAUGCAGGGCGUUAUCUCUCACAGAAAGUCCUCAGGGUAGGGCCUGGCGGAUCGUGCUUCUCCUCUUAGAUUCCCCCAGGGCACGUCCCCCUCAAAUGCGUCAGGGUAGGAGAUGUGUCUCCCCCCAUCUCCUAGGCUAAGGUCCUGUCGCAUCUCAGACUGCCAGGACUCUCCGAGAGCAAACUGGGGAGUCCACAGAUCCUGCGUUGCCUCCCCCGUCCACUCUCACCAACAGAAAUCCAAACGCUCAUUUUGUAGGUUCUUUGCCACGUUCCCCGUCAGGCCUCCAGGCGGCGCCACGAGCCCAUAGCAGCCUGCCCUGGCGGGCCAGACCUGAGCACUUGAUUACCAGUGAGAAAUGGACCGAGUUUAGCCGCCAAGAACGGUGGUCUGGGAGCCAACCUCAGUGUCCUCAUCUGGAAAAUGGGGAGGUGUGAGAUUCGAUGAAAUGAUGGAGGCAAAGCAUGCGUAGCUUUAUUAUUAUUAUUAUUACUAUUAUUUUGAAGGUGAGUUUUAUCAUCAAAGCAAGACAAGAGCCAAGGUAGGGGACUUCCCUGGUGGUCCAGUGGUUAGGAAUCCGCCUUCCAAUGCAGGGGACGGGAGUUCGAUCCCUGGUGGGGGGAACUAAGAUCCCACAUGCUGCGGUGCAAGUAAGCCCGGGCGCUGCAACUGGAAAGAAGACUGCAUGCUGCAACAAAGAGCCUGCGUGCCACAACUAAGACCCAAUGCAGCCAAAUAAAAAUAAAUAAUAAAAGGUCAAAAAGGAAAAAAAAAAAGCCAAGGUAGGGAUGGGGGUGGACCGUGGAAGACUUGAAGGCUUUUGUUUUGUGUUUUUGCAUCUGAUAUGUAACAUGGAUAUUUUUGUGAAGUAUUAAUGAAAACUUAUAAUGUGUUUCAUUGUGCCUUCUAUCCUUGCAAGAACUGUGGAUAUGUGUUUCAAACUCCACACCCUUUGCAAUUUUAAAAGGUCUUUUAAUUUUGUACAAUUUUGUUUAUUCAUUUUAUGUUUGCAUAAGUAAUUCACACACCUCGUAAAGAAAAGUCCAAAAACUACAAAAAGAAAGCUAGAGUGAAAAGUCUGUCUCCACCCUCUGUUCCCUGCCCUGCCCCCACCCACCUCUUUCCCUUCCCAGAAGCCACCACCACAACCAGCUGUGUGUCUUCUCCCAGAACCAGUUUAUUAUUUUACAGACAGAUUUACAUGUCUGUCCUGUGCAAGAGAAUUUAGAUUUUAUGUGGUGAAGGACGGAACAGCACUUAGCUGCUUAAUGAUUUAUUGGGCACCUACUCUGUACUGCUGGGGUAAAUCCAGCUGACACCCUUGAGAUACUCACAGCCCAGUGCAGAAGG